rnacentral:rRNA from 1 species
UACGUAGGGUGCAAGCGUUGUCCGGAAUUAUUGGGCGUAAAGAGCUCGUAGGCGGUCUGUCACGUCGGCUGUGAAAACCCGAGGCUCAACCUCGGGCCUGCAGUCGAUACGGGCAAACUAGAGUGUUGCAGGGGAGACUGGAAUUCCUGGUGUAGCGGUGAAAUGCGCAGAUAUCAGGAGGAACACCGGUGGCGAAGGCGGGUCUCUGGGCCGAUACUGACGCUGAGGAGCGAAAGCGUGGGGAGCAAACAGG